rnacentral:rRNA from 1 species
GACGAACGCUGGCGGCGUGCUUAACACAUGCAAGUCGAACGGAAAGGCCCUGCUUUUGUGGGGUGCUCGAGUGGCGAACGGGUGAGUAACACGUGAGUAACCUGCCCUUGACUUUGGGAUAACUUCAGGAAACUGGGGCUAAUACCGGAUAGGAGCUCCUGCUGCAUGGUGGGGGUUGGAAAGUUUCGGCGGUUGGGGAUGGACUCGCGGCUUAUCAGCUUGUUGGUGGGGUAGUGGCUUACCAAGGCUUUGACGGGUAGCCGGCCUGGGAGGGGGACCGGCCACAUGGGGACUGGGAAACGGCCCAGACUCCUACGGGGGGCAGCAGUGGGGAAUAUUGCACAAGGGGCGGAGGCCUAAUGCGGCAACGCGGCGUGCGGGAUGACGGCCUUCGGGUUGUAAACCGUUUUCGCCUGUGACGAAGCGUGAGUGACGGUAAUUGGUGAAGAAGCACCGGCUAACUACGUG